GUUGUGGUGGCUCAGUGGUUAAAGUUUCAUAUCACAGAUAAGAUGUUUAUGUGUUCAAAUCCCAGCACCA
rnacentral:tRNA from 1 species